AAGGUGAUCAUAAUGUUAUGCUUGAUCGGUGUAUAUACAGUAAAUAUAUAAUAUAAUGAUUAUGAGAGAAGAAUAAUGUGCAUUAAAAUAAUGUCCAAAAUUCUUUAAGCAAAAUAUUCAUAUUUCUUUUCCUUUGUUUUUGGUGUGAAAUAUGACCUGUGCAUUGGUCUAUAUGUGUUUCUGAUGAUGUGUUUUUCAUCCCCUCUGUUUUUAGCCUGAGGAUCUGCUCAGACUCUAAUAAACAUGAAUAAGUCGGAUGCUGCUUUCAAACAUACACCUCUGUUCAUUGGAGAAUUAAAAUGCAGUCUACACAGAUUGUUAGUGUGAAUGUUUAACUCUAGUGUACAGGCCAUAUUUUUCAGACUUGUUGGUCAAGCAUCACCAUCUGCUAUGGAGUGUGAGGUGUGUUUAGCACAGGGGUCUGAAAAACAGGCUGCUCACUCAUCCUGACAGCAGGGGGUGCCAAGAGGCAAAACAUGGUGAUGGACCACCUGAAAUCAAACCAAUACUCUCCUUGAGGAAGUCUCUGAAGUUGAGGUAAAAUAAAGUCAGAUAUGCAGUAAUAAGCAUCUGGUUCCACCGAACUUCCAUCUAAAUACAGUGACCCAGUCUACCCGGUCAAAACUUGGACACUUAAGUCAUAUUCCAAUGUCUGAAGUUCAUUUCAUUAUAAAA